rnacentral:rRNA from 1 species
GACGAACGCUGGCGGCGUGCUUAACACAUGCAAGUCGAACGAAGUGGCGAACGGGUGAGUAACGCGUAAUCAACCUGUCCUUCAGAGGGGGACAACAGUUGGAAACGACUGCUAAUACCGCAUACUGAAGGAGGGGAAUGCGUCUGAUUAGCUAGUUGGAGGGGUAACGGCCCACCAAGGCGAUGAUCAGUAGCCGGUCUGAGAGGAUGAACGGCCAAAUUGGGACUGAGACACGGCCCAGACUCCUACGGGAGGCAGCAGUUGGGAAACUUCCGCAAUGGACGAAAGUCUUACGGAGCAACGCCGCGUGGGUGAUGACGGCCUUCGGGUUGUAAAGCUCUGUUAAGCGGGACGCGGUACCGGAAUAGAAAGCCACGGCUAACUACGUGCCAGCAGCCGCGGUAAUUC